AAUUUACAGCCUUCAUUUUGUUUCUUUUUUUCUUUGGUGCAUUCAAUACAGAGAAUAAAUGUACAAUCUGUGUCCUCCACUGUGGUUAAAUAAGCUAAAGGUACUCAGGUUAAGGACUUCAAGGAACAGCUUUUUCAAUGAUCAUUGCAAAAGAGAAUGCAUCCCAUUUCAUCAUUUUCUCCAUCCAUAUAACUAUGAAUUAAUAUUUCUUAAAACUCCCAAACCAAAUGCAUAAUCAUCAACCAAAAAUCCCCCUAAUUGCAAAAAGAAAAAGGAAGAUUGAGAA
rnacentral:misc_RNA from 1 species